UGGGCUGUCAGGGGCAACACUGCACUCUCCACUGUAACAAGGAGAAAGCCAAGGGCCACAGAGAGGAGUGCCUUUCCAGUGUCACUGCUCACUUUCCCACCUUUUGGGAGACUGGGAGGCUUUUCUACUACAUUCUGGCUCUGAAGCCCCAAUACUGUUUGGACAUGCCUCCCUCCCUGGAGCAGGGAACCACUAAGUGACCUGUCACUUGUCACCAAGCAGACAGGCUCAUUUCAGCUCAUUGUGCCACCUGCAGGUUGUACUAGUAGCAGGAUCCUCUGGGAGACAUCACACUCUCCCAACCUGAAAACAGGUGAACAGCUCACAGGUUUCCUGGAGAGGAUGGUCACAUGGCCUUGAUCUGGCCAAUCAGCAUUUUCCAUCCUCCCUGGCCACUGUGAUUGGCUCAGGGCUGGGCACCAGCCCAAUCAGGCUCCACAGAGGUCAGGCCUAGUUACUGGAAUCCUGGGAGCAGAGAAGUUCUAUUUCAGUUGGGAGUUGAGGGGUGAUGAUGUCAGCCUGUGGCAGUUGGUGACUAUCUUGCUCUCAUAAAGGCAGAGCCAUGUGAAGAUGACACCAGUGGCAGAGCCCAGAGGUGGGGAAGGAUGACUUCUGCUGAUGUCACUGAGCACAAGGUACAGCCCUGCCUGAAGCUAUCUCCCUGUGGAUGUCUCAGUUAGGCUGUCUGCUGCAUGAGAAUGGAGACCUGCCUGCUUCACUACCUGCUGUGCCCGGUAUCUGGAACCCGCCCAACACACAGUAGGACGUCAGCGAAUGUGUGACGGGUGUGUGAUCACUGUAGGCCACAGACAAAAGUCUUCCCAGCAGUGAUGAAACCCUGUGACAGAUCCUGUCCACAGCACCCUGCUCCUCCAAUCCUGACCCCAGGCUUUCCCAUGGUGUGUGACCCUGCAUGGGGUGCAGUCCCCUCCUCCAGUCUGGUUUUCUGAGGAAUCAGACUGUCUUUGGAAGUGACAGACCACUCUUCGGAAAUUGUCCUGUGCCAAGGGCUGGACGACAGGAAUCUUGGAGCUGUUCUUGGAGCAGACAAUUGAGUGAAUUUCUCAAGUGCACGUUGACACUCCGAAUGUUUCUGCCAGUAUCACAGAUGUUCAGUAGGUCUCAAGAAUGUCUUUCGAGCCUGGUAUUCUCUAGAGAUGUCUCCAUGCCGGUAUUCUCCAUUGUAGAGGAACAACUCUCAUCAAUAUGUUCGCAUCUCUCCUCAAUCGGUGCAGCCAGCUUUUCUGCCAGCUUCUCUUCGUGUCUCCCAUAAAGUCGACUUCAAAAGGACUGGGCAAGUCUGAAAGUAAAUCGGAGCAUCACCAGUAAGAU